ACAGAGGGGGCAAGCGUUGUUCGGAAUUACUGGGCGUAAAGGGCGCGUAGGCGGCCUGUUAAGUCGAACGUGAAAUCCCCGGGCUCAACCCGGGAACUGCGUCCGAUACUGGGAGGCUUGAAUCCGGGAGAGGGAUGUGGAAUUCCAGGUGUAGCGGUGAAAUGCGUAGAUAUCUGGAGGAACACCGGUGGCGAAGGCGGCGUUCUGGACUGCAACUGACACUGAGGAACGAAAGCGUGGGGAGCAAACAGGA
rnacentral:rRNA from 1 species